GUUAUAUUCUUCUGAUUCAGCUUGGAUUGGCUUUUCCCUGGGUGCAAAUCAAGGUUUUGUCUGGAGUGAUGGAUCACCUAGUGAUUUUGAGAACUGGGGCUUUGGGGAACCAAAUAACUACAAUGACAAUGAACACUGUACAGAAGUUAACUUUAACUACCGACGGCGCUGGAACGACCGGUACUGCGAUGCUUACAAUAACUGGAUCUGCCAGAUAAGCAAAGGUGUGACUCCCAAACCUGAACCUGCAAUAAC